AGUGAACGCUGGCGGUAGGCCUAACACAUGCAAGUCGAACGGCAGCACAGUAAGAGCUUGCUCUUACGGGUGGCGAGUGGCGGACGGGUGAGGAAUACAUCGGAAUCUACUUUUUCGUGGGGGAUAACGUAGGGAAACUUACGCUAAUACCGCAUACGCCCUACGGGUGAAAGCAGGGGCUCUUCGGACCUUGCGCGAUUGAAUGCGCCGAUGUCGGAUUAGCUAGUUGGCGGGGUAAAGGCCCACCAAGGCGACGAUCCGUAGCUGGUCUGAGAGGAUGAUCAGCCACACUGGAACUGAGACACGGUCCAGACUCCUACGGGAGGCAGCAGUGGGGAAUAUUGGACAAUGGGCGCAAGCCUGAUCCAGCCAUACCGCGUGGGUGAAGAAGGCCUUCGGGUUGUAAAGCCCUUUUGUUGGGAAAGAAAAGCAGCAGGUUAAUACCCCGCUGUUCUGACGGUACCCAAAGAAUAAGCACCGGCUAACUUCGUG
rnacentral:rRNA from 1 species